AUGUGCCUAAUUUGCAUAUUACAGGAAAAAUACAGGGUGAUGCGCAGAAAACUCACAAACAGCAGUUACAUAAACUCAUGGCAUCUGUCCAAGACACCGGUUGUUUGCUCCAUAUGCAUUUAUCUUAUUUGUGUUAUGCGCUUAGAGGCUUAUUCAGUACUUUAUUUAGUGAUUACAAGAGGAGCUAUAUAUGCCCGACAUGAUGUCUCAUCAAUAAACAAUCUAAUUUAUUUACUUAAAACUAAAUCACAGCAAAUACAAUAUAUGACCUGUUCUAGUUUUAGGUUUUUUUCUGGUUGUGACAAGAAAUUCAACAUUCCAGCUCAAACAAAGACUAAAAAACGUGCCCAUUUCCUCCAAGAGCUGAAGAAAUAUCCACACUUAUUUUCAUUUGACUUCCAUAGAGAUCUUCUUAGUGAGUCACACCAGUGUCAUUCAGUUUAGCUGGUCCAACAGAGAAAGCAACAAUGCUGGAAAUCUGCCAUUACUAAUUGAGGCAUUUAUUAGUUCUCUGUUAACCAGACGUCACUCUGAAAAUCAUAAAAGACACAGUUCCAAGACAAUCAUUAAAACUGGCAUAAUGGAAUGCAUGGAACAAAGGCUUCCACAAAACAUUUGUUAUCAAAAGUGUCAGUCUGUAAUUCAUAAAGAGGUGGUUUGCAAUCAAAUAGUAUUUAAAAAAAAUGAGAAACCAUUAUACAGUAUAACAACCAUAAUAACUGAGCACCAAAUCAGCAUAUUAUAAUGAUCAUGUAUUAUAGAAUUAUAGAAAUUAUAGAAUCUUUAAAACAUUUAAUAUUCAUUUUCAUUCAUUCACCCAGUUCAACCUAUAGUUUUUAUUUAUUUAUUUAUCAUUUGUUUUUUGAAGUUAUUGUAAAAAAUGGUUACGUCAAUGUUGAAGUUAUAAUUCAAAAUAUCUAUUCUAAUUUAUGCAAAGUUUUAUGACUUAAGAAUUUUAUUGAGAACUGUCACUUAGAACUGCUUUUGUGAUUUAGAAACGCUUAUCUUGAUCAAAACCAAAAUGCAAAGCAACUUUCUUUCGAGUAACAGUCUCUAUUGUGACACCACACCCUGAGAUUUUUGCAUAAACUAGAGGUGGUGUCUGAUAACAUAAGAAAUAGAGCGACUCAUUUACUGUAGGACAACAACGUGAGGCGAUGUGCACUAAUUAGUUCUAAAUGCAUUCCAUACAUCUCCUACCAUCAAAAAGAAGACAUCUGCAUGUGCUCGUUGUUACUUCAUUUACUUGCACUUUUAGUUUUGUGUCAAUAUAAGCUCAACACAUAAAGCUGAUUUAAGGAAGCUUUGAGAAUGAACAACCCAUAUAUUGAGGAAAAAGAUUUAUGAGGCGUUUCGAACAAUAUGUAUAUAUAGUGGUGAAAUAUUUGGAUUUGUAGAUCAUUAGGCCUUUCAUCCAUCUUUUGUCAGGAACCUUUUGUGCCCCUGUUGCAGUAGAACCAACAGAUGAGCAUAAACAUUUGGGGUUGGAACCAAAGAAAGUUGUAUUACAUCAGACACAGGAGUGUAGAAAAAAACAGAAAAAGACAGACAAAGAGGGAGGGAGGGAUGGGUCACUUGCUACAUUUCAGAUGUGACCUCAGUGUCCUGAUCAGCCAUGCAUGCUGUCCCGGGCUACAUUUCCUCUGUGCACAUAGAACUUAGGCAGGGCAGAUUGUUUCCUGUCAUAACCAUCCCAUAUGAAUGUCUUUCUGCCCUCUGUGCUGCUAAAAGAAACUUUUACUUUUUAACAGUAUUUAUUUUUUAGCAGGAAACAGAUAUGAAUAUUAAUGUCUUAAAAAUAGUUAGCAGUGCUUAAGGCAUGUUGUUCUAUUACUGUUGUACAUCCCUUUUAAAACAAAGCCUAAAUUGUAAGUAUUAAAUGUUGCUGUAUAACACAUCAGUUAUACUUCAAAUGAUGAUCCCCCAAAAGGGACCCCGUUUUUAAAAUAUAAAGGCAUUUAUAUAUUUCCAUAUAUUAAAGAUUCAUUUAUACAGUGUAUGAAACAUGUGAUGUGAUAUUGUAAAGACAGAUUAAAUAACUGUAAUUAUUAUAUUAUUUGAAAAUAAAAUAAAAUAAAUUCUGGCA
ensembl:lncRNA